GAUGAACGCUGACAGAAUGCUUAACACAUGCAAGUCUUUGGUGAAGCUGUGCUUGCACAGCCUAGCCAAGGCGGACGGGUGAGUAACGCGUCAGGAACUUGCCCUGCAGUCAGGGAUAACAGACGGAAACGACUGAUAAGACCUGGUAAAGUCAGGCGGACUCAUGUCCAGCCUGAUGAAAAGAGAUGCUGCAGGAGAGCCUUGCGUCCUAUUAGCUUGUUGGUGGGGUAACGGCCCACCAAGGCAAUGAUAGGUAGCCGGCCUGAGAGGGUGGACGGCCACAAGGGGACUGAGAUACGGCCCUUACUCCUACGGGAGGCAGCAGGGGGGAAUAUUGGAAAAUGGGGGCAACCCUGAUACAGCAAUUCUGUGUGCACGAUGAAGGUUUUCGGAUUGUAAAGUGCUUUCAGCAGGGAAGAAAAAAAUGACGGUACCUGCAGAAGAAGCGACGGCUAAAUACGUG
rnacentral:rRNA from 1 species